rnacentral:rRNA from 1 species
UACGAAAGGGGCUAGCGUUUUUCGGAAUUACUGGGCGUAAAGCGCGCGUAGGCGGGCUAGCAAGUUGGGGGUGAAAUCCCGGGGCUCAACCUCGGAACUGCCUCCAAAACUGCUAGCCUAGAGGAUGUGAGAGGAUAGUGGAAUUCCGAGUGUAGAGGUGAAAUUCGUAGAUAUUCGGAAGAACACCAGUGGCGAAGGCGACUGUCUGGCGCAUUUCUGACGCUGAGGUGCGAAAGCGUGGGGAGCAAACAGG